CAGUGUUACAGCUCUUUUAGAAUUUAUCUAGUAGGUUUUUCCAGA
rnacentral:snRNA from 1 species